rnacentral:rRNA from 1 species
GACGAACGCUGGCGGCGUGCCUAAUACAUGCAAGUCGAGCGAGACUCUUCGGAGUCUAGCGGCGGACGGGUGAGUAACACGUGGGCAACCUGCCUGUAAGACUGGGAUAACACCGGGAAACCGGUGCUAAUACCGGAUAAUCCUUUUUCUCUCAUGAGGAAAAGCUGAAAGUCGGUUUCGGCUGACACUUACAGAUGGGCCCGCGGCGCAUUAGCUAGUUGGUGAGGUAACGGCUCACCAAGGCGACGAUGCGUAGCCGACCUGAGAGGGUGAUCGGCCACACUGGGACUGCGCCACGGCCCAGACUCCUACGGGAGGCAGCAGUAGGGAAUCUUCCACAAUGGACGAAAGUCUGAUGGAGCAACGCCGCGUGAGCGAUGAAGGCCUUCGGGUCGUAAAGCUCUGUUGUUAGGGAAGAACAAGUACCGGAGUAACUGCCGGUACCUUGACGGUACCUAACCAGAAAGCCACGGCUAACUACGUGCCAGCCGCCGCGGUAAGAC